AUUGAACGCUGGCGGCAGGCCUAACACAUGCAAGUCGAACGAGUGGCGGACGGGUGAGUAAUGUCUGGGAAUCUGGCUUAUGGAGGGGGAUAACGACGGGAAACUGUCGCUAAUACCGCGUACCAUAGGAUGAGCCCAAGUGGGAUUAGGUAGUUGGUGGGGUAAUGGCUUACCAAGCCGACGAUCCCUAGCUGGUCUGAGCGGAUGACCAGCCACACCGGGACUGAGACACGGGCCGGACUCCUACGGGAGGCAGCAGUGGGGAAUAUUGCGCAAUGGGGGCAAGCCUGACGCAGCCAUGCCGCGUGAAUGAAGAAGGCCUUCGGGUUGUAAAGUACUUUCGGUGGGGAGGCGUUAAUCGCAGAAGAAGCACCGGCUAACUCCGUGCCAGCAGCCGCGGUAAUUC
rnacentral:rRNA from 1 species